UACGAAGGGGGCUAGCGUUGUUCGGAAUCACUGGGCGUAAAGCGCACGUAGGCGGAUUUUUAAGUCAGGGGUGAAAUCCCGGGGCUCAACCUCGGAACUGCCUUUGAUACUGGAGAUCUUGAGUCCGGGAGAGGUGAGUGGAAUUCCCAGUGUAGCGGUGAAAUGCGUAGAUAUCGUAAGGAAGACCAGUGGCGAAGGCGAGUCUCUGGACAGUUACUGACGCUGAGGCACGAAGGCCAGGGGAGCAAACGGG
rnacentral:rRNA from 1 species